AACGAACGCUGGCGGCAGGCCUAACACAUGCAAGUCGAGCGCGCCCUUCGGGGUGAGCGGCGGACGGGUGAGUAACGCGUGGGAACGUGCCCUUUUCUACGGAAUAGCCUCGGGAAACUGAGAGUAAUACCGUAUACGCCCUUUGGGGGAAAGAUUUAUCGGAAAAGGAUCGGCCCGCGUUGGAUUAGGUAGUUGGUGGGGUAAUGGCCUACCAAGCCGACGAUCCAUAGCUGGUUUGAGAGGAUGAUCAGCCACACUAGGACUGAGACACGGCCCAGACUCCUACGGGAGGCAGCAGUGGGGAAUCUUAGACAAUGGGGGCAACCCUGAUCUAGCCAUGCCGCGUGAGUGAUGAAGGCCUUAGGGUUGUAAAGCUCUUUCAGCUGGGAAGAUAAUGACGGUACCAGCAGAAGAAGCCCCGGCUAACUCCGUG
rnacentral:rRNA from 1 species